AUUGAACGCUGGCGGCAUGCCUUACACAUGCAAGUCGAACGCGAAAGGGGGCAACCCCGAGUAGAGUGGCGAACGGGUGAGUAAUGCAUCGGAACGUAUCCUAUAGUGGGGGACAACCUCGAGAAAUCGAGGCUAAUACCGCAUACGACCCACGGGUGAAAGCGGGGGACCGCAAGGCCUCGCGCUACUGGAGCGGCCGAUGUCCGAUUAGCUAGUUGGUGGGGUAAAAGCCCACCAAGGCAACGAUCGGUAGCUGGUCUGAGAGGACGACCAGCCACACUGGGACUGAGACACGGCCCAGACUCCUACGGGAGGCAGCAGUGGGGAAUUUUGGACAAUGGGCGAAAGCCUGAUCCAGCAAUGCCGCGUGCAGGAUGAAGGCCUUCGGGUUGUAAACUGCUUUUGUACGGAACGAAAAGCUUCGGGUUAAUACCCUGGAGUCAUGACGGUACCGUAAGAAUAAGCACCGGCUAACUACGUGCCAGCCGCCGCGGUAAUAC
rnacentral:rRNA from 1 species